UCCGGUGGCUAUGGCGGAGGGGUCACACCUCUUCCCAUUCCGAACAGAGAAGUUAAGCCCUCCAGCGCCGAUGGUACUGCACGGGAGACCGUGUGGGAGAGUAGGUCGCCGCCGGGA
rnacentral:rRNA from 1 species